rnacentral:rRNA from 1 species
UUGCUCCCUGAUGUCAGCGGCGGACGGGUGAGUACACGUGGGUACCUGCCUGUAAGACUGGGAUAACUCCGGGAACCGGGGCUAAUACCGGAUGCUUGAUUGAACCGCAUGGUUCAAUUAUAAAAGGUGGCUUUUAGCUACCACUUACAGAUGGACCCGCGGCGCAUUAGCUAGUUGGUGAGGUAACGGCUCACCAAGGCAACGAUGCGUAGCCGACCUGAGAGGGUGAUCGGCCACACUGGGACUGAGACACGGCCCAGACUCCUACGGGAGGCAGCAGUAGGGAAUCUUCCGCAAUGGACGAAAGUCUGACGGAGCAACGCCGCGUGAGUGAUGAAGGUUUUCGGAUCGUAAAACUCUGUUGUUAGGGAAGAACAAGUACCGUUCGAAUAGGGCGGUACCUUGACGGUACCUAACCAGAAAGCCACGGCUAACUACGUGCCAGCAGCCGCGGUAAUACGUAGGUGGCAAGCGUUGUCCGGAAUUAUUGGGCGUAAAGCGCGCGCAGGCGGUUUCUUAAGUCUGAUGUGAAAGCCCCCGGCUCAACCGGGGAGGGUCAUUGGAAACUGGGGAACUUGAGUGCAGAAGAGAAGAGUGGAAUUCCACGUGUAGCGGUGAAAUGCGUAGAGAUGUGGAGGAACACCAGUGGCGAAGGCGACUCUCUGGUCUGUAACUGACGCUGAGGCGCGAAAGCGUGGGGAGCGAACAGGAUUAGAUACCUGGUAGUCCACGCCGUAAACGAUGAGUGCUAAGUG